rnacentral:misc_RNA from 1 species
GAUGAAGAACGUAGCGAAAUGCGAUAAGUAAUGUGAAUUGCAGAAUUCAGUGAAUCAUCGAAUCUUUGAACGCACCUUGCACCAUUUGGCAUUCCGAAGGGUAUGCUCGUUUGAGUGUCAUUGUACUCUCACUCUCCCGAUGCUUUUGGAUCGGGAGUGGUGGACUUGGGUGUUGCUGCUUUGCUGUGGCUCGCCUCAAAUGGAGUAGUGCAACUCUUGGUUGGACAUAGUACGGCGUGAUAAGUGUCUUCGCCGGCGCCUCAUUAUAGAGGGUGGCCGAUCGGGAGCUCUGUGCUUCAAACCGUCUUCGGACAACAUCUGACAACUUGACCUCAAAUCGAGUAGGACUACCCGCUGAACUUAAGCAUAUCAAUAAGCGGAGGA